rnacentral:lncRNA from 1 species
UUUUUGGCUUUUAAAUAUAAUUUGUCUUGUAAUACAUGUCUUUGAAUUUAAAUAUUUGAAUGCUUUAUGAUCUCUUUCUACCAUCUAGUUUUUUCUGCUGGUUCUAAUUUAUUGUAUUUUCUUUUCUGAUCAUUGUAUUUGAAAAAAUUAAUUGCAAGAAUAAUUUGAGGCCUCAAAAGACAAUUUUCAUUUCUUUUGCUGGAGUUGGAGGACACUAUAAAAGUAUCAUCAGCUGAGGCUAUAGGCUUAAGGGCCUCUUUGCUUCUGGCUCACCCUUUCUCUCAGGGUAUAGCGCUUUUUCAGACUCUGCAGUGGGUAGGAAAUGAUUUUUGAAGUCUGUCCUUUUGCCCCAGGAGGUUGCCAAAACCACAGCUCAGUUCCACAGCUAUUUCUUUGAAUAGACAAAUACCCUCUAGGCAAAAAGAGCUUUUAGUGUUGGGCUUGAUCUGAAUUUCCCAUUUAUCCUAGAUUUUGGCCAGGUAACUCUUCACUAUAUUUUAUUAUCUCAUAUAUGCUUUUGGAAAUUUUUGAAAACUUUUUUAGUUAUCAAAAAACUAAACUUUUUCUGGCUUUUUUAGUUAUUUCAGGAUGCUAAAGACCAACUAAAUAUCAUUCUACACUUUUUGAAAGUUUGAAUCAAAUAAAUUUAGUAUCAAUUUAAAAAUUACACACACAGGGGGAUCCCUGGGUGGCUCAACGGUUUAGCGCCUGCCUUCGGCCCUGGGCGUGAUCCUGGAGACCAGGGAUCAAGUCCCGCAUCGGGCUCCUUGCAGGGAGCCUUGCAGGGAGCCUGCUUCUCCCUCUGCCUCUGUCUCUGCCUCUCUCUCCUCUUUCUCUUUCAUGAAUAAAUAAAUAAAAUCUUAAAAAAAAAUUACACAUACACACACAUCACACACUCGCACACACACACACAAAACACAUGUUAUGGAAGGAUUCCAAAGAUGCACUUGUGGGAGUAGAAAAAUUUGGGAGAAUUUUAUCACAGCUAUCCAUGCCAUAAUACUUCGUAAAAUCAACCAUACAACCAUGGGGUCUGUGUUUUGUUAUUUACUUUUGAGGUUUUAAAAAAAAAUGUACAGAUUGCCAAAACUCCUUGGCACAAAUACAACUAAAACACAGAAUGAAGUGUGGGGGUGAAGGAGAGCAGACUUAUUUUCCAUAUUAAUCACAUAAAUUCGUUUACUACUGAAAAUUUUUAAGGCAGCUGAAUUUAAAAUAAUGUAUCAGUUGGGAUUUAGUUUGUUUUGUUUUCAUCUUUUAGUUUUAAAAACUACAUUAGCUAGAAAGAAAGAUGAUAAUUGACUGUUACAUUCAGUUUGUCUUCAGUAGCCGAAGAAGUUCUGGGAAAGUCACUAAACCAGUCUAUCGGCUACUGAAGUUCUGGGAAAGUCACUAAACCAGUCUAUGAAGAUAAGAGAGUAAGAGGGGAAUCCUGCACAAGAAAGUUCAUGGCUCAAUCUACAAUUGAUUGAGGGCACAUCUUGUAACACAACAGCAACUACAGAAAAGGAAUAACUAAGUGCUUCCACACGUGGCUUCUUGGUCAGUAAUCAUGCCUUAAGCAAAGAGUUACAGAUUAUAAACUCUUUCAAGUGGGGAACUAUUCAGAUAACACUAAUGAGGAAAGAUAUAAAGACCCACAUAUAAUUGAGGGAAAAAACUUUCAAGAGUAUAUACUUGGAAUAGAUGUUCCUAUUUAAAAUCCUGUAAAAUAAAGCAGCAAUAGUUGGUACUUCAUAGUGUUGACUAAAACAGUUAAGAUAUUUUCACAUAAAAGAACUAUAAUUUAAAGUAAGACAAAAGAUCAUGUGGAAUGUCUGUAGAUAUAUCCUACUUAGCAUUGUCUUUAAGUACACCCUACUUAACCUUAAAGUACCCUCAGACAACAAAUUCACUCAAAGAUCAUGUUGUCCUGUAUCUCAAGAUAUUUCAUCCCUCUACCUAGAGCAAUCUUAAGAAGGUCAAGAAUAGUAAAGAUUUGUGAGCUAUCAUUAUCCUGCUCUUCAUCUGUUUUUCCUACCAAAAGUGAACUAUUAGAAGUUUCUCAGGUUGGGGCACCUGGGUGGCACCCAUUGGUUAAGCAUCUGACUCUUGGUUUGGGCUCAGGUCGUGAUCUCUGGGUUCUAGGAGCAGGCCCUGCAAGGGCUCCGUUGUCUAAGGCAUAUCUGCCUCAGAUUCUCUGUCCCUCUCCCUUGCCCCUCCUGCUUGUGUUCUCUCUCUCUUUCAAAUAAAUAAAUAACUCUCUAAAAAAAAAGUUUCUCGGGUGACACAUUAUGAAUAUGUGUUUUCCCCACAGCACUUAUUGAAAAUAGGUUUUAAAGAUUAUAUUCAUUAAAAAUUGUGUAGACACAUAAAAAAGGCACAAAUAAAAUAUGUAUAAAAUACAAAAAUAGCAGUGCAACACUUCAACAAACACACACUUACCUACACCCUGGUUUCAGAAACCCAUAAUUACUAUCAUUUUAUAUAUCUCCUAAAUGUAUUCCCCAAUCUCCGAUUUCCCAGCCUUCUCCCUCUCUAUCCCCUUCUCUAUCUAUCUGUAUCAUUCCUUUGUUUUUAAAAAUUGUUACCAAGUAUAUUUAUAUAUGCAAUCAAUAUAUUGUUCUUUUCUGUGUAGUUUAGUACUUUAUAUAAAUGGAAUUAUCAAGUGUCUCCUUGAAUUUGCCUUUUUUGCUCCUGAGAUCCAUCCAUGUUGUAUGUGGUAAUAAUUCACUUAUUUUCCAAUUGUUUACUCUUCUCUUUAUGAAUAUUCCAUGAUUUAUUUUCCAGCCUGCUAGUGGGUUGUUUCCAGUUUUUUGCUAUUAACAAACAAUGCUUCUAAUAAUAUUCUUAUACAUAUUUCCUGGUGUCCUUGUGCAUGAGGUUUCAGGAAGGUAGACAAGGGUGGAAUUUGUAGGUUGUAGG